rnacentral:rRNA from 1 species
AUUGAACGCUGGCGGCAUGCCUUACACAUGCAAGUCGAACGGCAGCACGGGUGCUUGCACCUGGUGGCGAGUGGCGAACGGGUGAGUAAUACAUCGGAACAUGUCCUGUAGUGGGGGAUAGCCCGGCGAAAGCCGGAUUAAUACCGCAUACGAUCUACGGAUGAAAGCGGGGGACCUUCGGGCCUCGCGCUAUAGGGUUGGCCGAUGGCUGAUUAGCUAGUUGGUGGGGUAAAGGCCUACCAAGGCGACGAUCAGUAGCUGGUCUGAGAGGACGACCAGCCACACUGGGACUGAGACACGGCCCAGACUCCUACGGGAGGCAGCAGUGGGGAAUUUUGGACAAUGGGCGAAAGCCUGAUCCAGCAAUGCCGCGUGUGUGAAGAAGGCCUUCGGGUUGUAAAGCACUUUUGUCCGGAAAGAAAUCCUUGGCCCUAAUACGGUCGGGUGAUGACGGUACCGGAAGAAUAAGCACCGGCUAACUACGUG